UGCAAUGCUCUGUAGCACUGAGGGGAACUGGUGAUCAGGUGAUAAUUCUCUGUGAGUUCAUUAUACAGUCAUUUGAUUGUUUACAGAGAACUUUGGUGGAAUCGACUUUUCAUUCCACGCAUUCUUCUUCCUUGUCAAAACCUGCCCUUUGUGUUACCCACAACGCAAAUUGACCGCUGACAGUUUUGAAGCCUUAUGCUAGUAGGACCAAAUGUUUUUUUCUUUGUCAAACUUGUAGUCUUCAGACCCAUCAGAAGCUGACUCAAGUGACAUCACUUGAAGACAUUUAACUUCACACAGCUCCCUCUAGAGCCACAAACAAACUAUACAACUUUUUUUCACAUAUGCAGUCGGAGUCUCCAACACCACAGACUCUGAUGUGUAAAAUCAUUAGAGUUCCCCUUUUGCCAAAAAGAAAUUGAUUAGAGCCCCUUUAAGUUACACAUGCUAUGAUUUCCUAAAGUUAAUGGCCAUAGAUUUACAUCAUCGACUUGUUGCUCCAGCUUGAUCUUGGCUUUGGUCAAACAGUUGACUUUGUCUUCCUCUGCUUGCAGGUCAUCCAGUGUCUGCUGGUGGGCCUCCUGCAGAGCCAACUUCUCCUUGGAUAUCUUGGCGAUGGUGUCAUCAAGAGAAGACAUCUCCUCAGUCAGAUUCUUCACCUGAAUGUGAAGCAAAGAGCAAUCUACUGAAUCUGCAGACACAAGUCAUUCUUCUCCUGAAGCAGGGAAACCAUUUUGGCUUCCAGUUCCUUCCUCUUAGCCUCAGCUUUGGCUAAAUCCUCCUUACACUUGGCGAACUCCACUUUCAUCAUGGCCAUCUCCUUCUCCGUCUCAGCACUCCUCAAGAGUGGCUUGAUCUUAAAGUAAAGCUUCAUCCAUGGCCAGUGUUUCACAUUCAUGAAGGAGCGAAUGUUGUAUUGGACAAUAUAAAUGGACUCUCUGGAAAGUGAUGGAGUUCAUGCUUAGUUUUCAGUUAGUACGUUCAUAGAUCUAAGGAAGCCCCGACACAAGGCUUGAGUAAUGGUGAUGAGAGUGGCCAGUUUGUCAUCCCUCAUCUCUUCUAGUAGACCCAAGAGCCCGGCUUUGAAGAACACCUUCAGGAAAUAGGAAUUAGGAUAUACACUGCUCAAAAAAAUAAAGGGAACACAAAAUAA